rnacentral:rRNA from 1 species
UUGACGGGGAGCACUACAACGGGUGGAGCCUGCGGUUUAAUUGGACUCAACGCCGGAAAACUCACCGGGGCGACAGCAAUAUGUAGGUCAAGCUAAAGACUUUACCAGAAUCGCUGAGAGGAGGUGCAUGGCCGUCGUCAGUUCGUACUGUGAAGCAUCCUGUUAAGUCAGGCAACGAGCGAGACCCGUGCCCACUGUUGCCAGCAUGUCCUUCGGGAUGAUGGGUACUCUGUGGGACCGCCGAUGCUAAAUCGGAGGAAGGUGCGGGCUACGGUAGGUCAGUAUGCCCCGAAUCUCCCGGGCUACACGCGGGCUACAAUGACUGGGACAAUGGGCUCCUACCCCGAAAGGGGAUGGUAAUCUCAUAAACCCAGCCUUAGUUCGGAUCGAGGGCUGUAACCCGCCCUCGUGAAGCUGGAAUCCGUAGUAAUCGCGUUUCAACAUAGCGCGGUGAAUACGUCCCUGCUCCUU